rnacentral:rRNA from 1 species
GAUGAACGCUAGCGGCAGGCUUAACACAUGCAAGUCGAGGGGCAGCACGGUAGCAAUACUGGUGGCGACCGGCAAACGGGUGCGGAACACGUACAGAACCUACCUUGAUCUGGGGCAUAGCCCGGAGAAAUCCGGAUUAACUCCCCAUAACAUAGAUGAGUGGCAUCACUUGACUAUUAAAAAUUUAUUGGAUCGAGAUGGCUGUGCGUCCCAUUAGCUAGUUGGUAGGGUGACGGCCUACCAAGGCGACGAUGGGUAGCUGGUGUGAGAGCACGACCAGCCACACGGGCACUGAGACACGGGCCUGACUCCUACGGGAGGCAGCAGUGAGGAAUAUUGGUCAAUGGACGGAAGUCUGAACCAGCCAUCCCGCGUGCAGGAUGAAGGUCCUAUGGAUUGUAAACUGCUUUUAGCAGAGACGAAGACCCAUCAUUGAUGGUGGAGUGACGGUAUCUGCAGAAUAAGCACCGGCU